rnacentral:rRNA from 1 species
UGGGGAAUAUUGGACAAUGGGCGAAAGCCUGAUCCAGCCAUGCCGCGUGUGGGAAGAAGGCCUUCGGGUUGUAAACCGCUUUUAUUCGGAAAGAAGGAGUGGAGGUGAAUAGCUUCCAUUACAGACGGUACCGGAUGAAUAAGCACCGGCUAACUACGUGCCAGCAGCCGCGGUAAUACGUAGGGUGCGAGCGUUAAUCGGAAUUACUGGGCGUAAAGCGUGCGUAGGCGGUUGGCAAAGUCAGCUGUGAAAGCCCCGGCUUAACCUGGGAAUUGCGGUUGAAACUAGUCGACUAGAAUCUGGCAGAGGGGGGUGGAAUUCCACGUGUAGCAGUGAAAUGCGUAGAGAUGUGGAGGAACACC